AUUGAACGCUGGCGGCAUGCCUUACACAUGCAAGUCGAACGGCAGCACGGGAGCAAUCCUGGUGGCGAGUGGCGAACGGGUGAGUAAAGUAUCGGAACGUGCCCAGUCGUGGGGGAUAACGUAGCGAAAGUUACGCUAAUACCGCAUACGAUCUAUGGAUGAAAGCGGGGGAUCGCAAGACCUCGCGCGAUUGGAGCGGCCGAUAUCAGAUUAGGUAGUUGGUGGGGUAAAGGCUCACCAAGCCGACGAUCUGUAGCUGGUCUGAGAGGACGACCAGCCACACUGGGACUGAGACACGGCCCAGACCCCUACGGGAGGCAGCAGUGGGGAAUUUUGGACAAUGGGCGCAAGCCUGAUCCAGCCAUUCCGCGUGCAGGAUGAAGGCCCUCGGGUUGUAAACUGCUUUUGUACAGAACGAAAAGGUCUGGGUUAAUACCCUGGGCUCAUGACGGUACUGUAAGAAUAAGCACCGGCUAACUACGUGCCAGCAGCCGCAGUAA
rnacentral:rRNA from 1 species